rnacentral:rRNA from 1 species
CAAUAGCGUAUAUUAAAGUUGUUGCAGUUAAAAAGCUCGUAGUCGGAUUUCGGGUUUGUCCGCGCGGUCUGCCGUUGGGUAUGCACUGCGUGUGACUUAUCUAUUUCGGGGCAGCGCGCGUUGCUUAAUUGUGGCGUGUGUCUCCUCGCUUUUACUUUGAGAAAAUCAGAGUGUUCAAAGCAGGCCUUUGCCAUUGUAUGUGUUAGCAUGGGAUAAUGGAAUAGGACUCUGGUGCUAUUUUGUUGGUUUCGAACGCCGGGGUAAUGAUUAAUAGGGAUAGUCAGGGGCACUCGUAUUCCGUAGAGAGAGGUGAAAUUCUUAGACCCACGGAAGACGCACUACUGCGAAAGCAUUUGCCAGGGAUGUUUUCACUGA